GAUGAACGCUGACAGAAUGCUUAACACAUGCAAGUCGACUUGAAACAACUUCGGUUGUGGAAAGUGGCGGACGGGUGAGUAACGCGUAAAGAACUUGCCCUUCAGUCUGGGACAACCAUCGGAAACGAUGGCUAAUACCGGAUAUUAUGGAACUCUCGCAUGGGAGGAUCAUGAAAGCUAUAUGCGCUGAAGGAGAGCUUUGCGUUCCAUUAGCUAGUUGGUGAGGUAACGGCUCACCAAGGCGACGAUGGAUAGCCGGCCUGAGAGGGUGAUCGGCCACAAGGGGACUGAGACACGGCCCUUACUCCUACGGGAGGCAGCAGUGGGGAAUAUUGGACAAUGGACCAAAAGUCUGAUCCAGCAAUUCUGUGUGCACGAUGAAGGUUUUCGGAUCGUAAAGUGCUUUCAGUUGGGAAGAAGAAAGUGACGGUACCAACAGAAGAAGCGACGGCUAAAUACGUGCCAGCAGCCGCGGUAAUACGUAUGUCGCAAGCGUUAUCCGGAUUUAUUGGGCGUAAAGCGCGUCUAGGCGGAUUCAUAAGUCUGAUGUUAAAAUGCGGGGCUCAACUCCGUAUUGCGUUGGAAACUGUGAAUCUAGAGUAUCAGAGAGGUGGGCGGAACUACAAGUGUAGAGGUGAAAUUCGUAGAUAUUUGUAGGAAUGCCGAUGGAGAAGUCAGCUCACUGGAUGAAUACUGACGCUAAAGCGCGAAAGCGUGGGUAGCAAACAGG
rnacentral:rRNA from 1 species